rnacentral:rRNA from 1 species
AACGCGAAGAACCUUACCUGGUCUUGACAUCCACAGAACUUUCCAGAGAUGGAUUGGUGCCUUCGGGAACUGUGAGACAGGUGCUGCAUGGCUGUCGUCAGCUCGUGUUGUGAAAAUGUUGGGUUAAAGUCCCGCAACGAGCGCAACCCUUAUCCUUUGUUGCCAGCGGUUCGGCCGGGAACUCAAAGGAGACUGCCAGUGAUAAACUGGAGGAAGGUGGGGAUGACGUCAAGUCAUCAUGGCCCUUACGACCAGGGCUACACACGUGCUACAAUGGCAUAUACAAAGAGAAGCGACCUCGCGAGAGCAAGCGGACCUCAUAAAGUAUGUCGUAGUCCGG